AACACAUGCAUCAAAAGGGUAUCAAAUUCACCCAUAAUACCUCAUACAUUCAGAGCAUUCAAAUUAAAAGCAUAAAGUAAUGGAAUAAGGCAAACCUGACUGGAGAGAUCGAAUGAAAUUGAAUUGCCCGGUUGGGUUUGCAAAGAAAUCUGAGGGUUUAUAUGAGAUGGAAUUGGUUCUUUGCAGAUGAGAGGUUGCUCUGAACUCUGUUAGCUCUUCUCUCACUAUCGUUUUCCCAGCCA
rnacentral:lncRNA from 1 species